UACGGAGGAUGCAAGCGUUAUCCGGAAUGAUUGGGCGUAAAGCGUCCGCAGGUGGCUAUGUAAGUCUGCUGUUAAAGAGUGAGGCUCAACCUCACAAGAGCAGUGGAAACUACAUGGCUAGAGUGCGUUCGGGGCAGAGGGAAUUCCUGGUGUAGCGGUGAAAUGCGUAGAGAUCAGGAAGAACACCGGUGGCGAAAGCGCUCUGCUAGGCCGCAACUGACACUCAUGGACGAAAGCUAGGGGAGCGAAUGGG
rnacentral:rRNA from 1 species